CCCAGUGUGCCAAUUCGCCUCACCACCUCGAGCGGGAGGCACAACCACAAUGUGGUCGUCACGCGCACCUUAACGACACAACCCUUGGGCCCCGUGCUAGCUGGGCUCCAGAAGUAUCACAAGCUCUUGCGAAUGCAGCAGGCUUGGGGGACUUCGGCCCUCGGCCUAGACCUUGGUAGGUCAUUAAGCCACCCUCGUUGAGACAACGGUCGAUCCACCGAUAGGCCCCCUCCACUCCCUGCGGGCAGUCGGGCGCCUUGACAGCAUCGACAUCGCAAAGGACAUGCUACCUGGUUG
rnacentral:misc_RNA from 1 species